AUUGAACGCUGGCGGCGUGCCUAACACAUGCAAGUCGAGCGGUAACAGGUGUAGCAAUACAUGCUGACGAGCGGCGAACGGGUGAGUAAUGCUUCGGAAUCUUCCCAGUUGUGGGGAAUAACUAGCCGAAGGUUAGCUAAUACCGCAUACGACCUACGGUGAAAGCAGGGGAUCGUAAGACCUUGCGCUAUUGGAUGAGCCGAAGUCGGAUUAGCUAGUUGGUAGGGUAACGGCCUACCAAGGCGACAAUCCGUAGCUGGUCUGAGAGGACGACCAGCCACACUGGGACUGAGACACGGCCCAGACUCCUACGGGAGGGCAGCAGUGGGGAAUAUUGGACAAUGGGGGAAACCCGUACGAUCCAGCGACGCCGCGUGUGUGAAGAAGGCCUGCGGGUUGUAAAGCACUUUUAGUGGGGAGUGAAAAGACCGAGGCUAAUACCUUUCGGUCUUGACCUAACCUACAGAAAAGACNCCGGCUAACUCUGUGCCAGCCGCCGCUGUAAC
rnacentral:rRNA from 1 species